CGAUCUCAAAUCAAGUAAGACUACCCGCUGAACUUAAGCAUAUCAAUAAGCGGAGGAAAAGGA
rnacentral:rRNA from 1 species